rnacentral:rRNA from 1 species
CGGACGGGUGAGUAAUGUCUGGGAAACUGCCCGAUGGAGGGGGAUAACUACUGGAAACGGUAGCUAAUACCGCAUAAUGUCUACGGACCAAAGCGGGGGACCUCCGGGCCUCGCGCCAUCAGAUGAACCCAUAUGGGAUUAGCUAGUAGGUGGGGUAACGGCUCACCUAGGCGACGAUCCCUAGCUGGUCUGAGAGGAUGAUCAGCCACACUGGGACUGAGACACGGCCCAG